UUAAAUUAUAUAAAAUAAAAUUAUAUGAAUUAAAUUUUAUAUUUUAAAUGUGAAAACUACUUUUUUAAAUAAUUUUUUUAUUUUAAAUUAAUUUAGAAAUAAAAAUUUUAUUCUGGAUAUACAAAUAAUUUUAUGAUAUUAUUAAAUAAAAUAAAUGAAUUAAUUAUGUAUUUUUCUUAAUUUUAUAAACUAUAAAUGCAAAUGCUAUCCUAAAAGCUUCAUAUGAGAGCAUUGACCAGAGAACAUUUGGAGAGCAUUAGCAUUUAGUAAAUGUUUCUCUAAAUGCUUGUCUAACAAUUGUUGACUAACUUAAGAUCCGCGCAAUUGCGCGAAAUGAAUGUUAUAUAUAAAACUUAUUUUUAUAUAUUAUUAUUUAUUUAUAUUUAUUUAUGUAUUAUGUAUAUAAUUAAAUUAAAGUAAAUACAUAAAUCAAAACAAUACAUCUUGUUUAUUUACGAUACUUUUUUGCUAAAUAAAUCAAAACAAUCAAUUUAUUUAUUUUAUAUGGUAUAUAACUAAAUUUCAAUGACAUGGACAUAGUUAUAUAAUAUAUUUUAAUAUAAAUAUUUAUUAUUGAGAAUUCAUUCUCAUAUGAUAAACCCAAAAUUUCUAAUGUGUGAUUUUUUUAAUACAAAUUUUUAAAUUAAAAUAUUAAGAUUUCAAUACUUUUCAAUACAAAUUUAGAAAUUAUCAGAUUUAAGAAUUUUUCUAUGUUAUAUAGUUUAAUUUUAAACUAUAUAUUAAUAUAAUAUGAAUGUCUAGUAAAUGAGACUUUACAUUCAUGCAAUUUAUGAUUACUUGUAUUUUGUUAUUACCAAAAAAAAAAAAACCAUUGAUCAUAAAAUUUUAGUGUGAGAUAUUUAACAUUUUUUUAUAAUUUAUAGUCGUUUUAAAAUUCAAAAUAUAACAUAUAAGAAAAAAAUUAAUUUAUUUAUUAUAUGAUUAAUGUGGUUGUUUAAUAUCUUUUAAUAAUAUAAAAUUAAACAAAAAAGAGCUAAGAUACAAAAAUUUUAUCAAAUAUUUAUUAUUCAUAAUCAUUAAUUGUCAUAUAUAUGUUAAUCAUAUUAGGCAAUUCUGUAGCUUUUAUUUAAGGAAACUGGGAGAAUAUUCUUUUGUACACUAUUAUCAAAUUAAUAGUUAGUUUAAUAAAAAGUAUAAUAUAAGUUAAGAUGGACCAAGCUAUUUCUCUAAAAAUUCUGAAUUUCAUUCUCAUGGUGGUACAUGUCUACAAAACAAUGUUAUAAUGUUUCUCAAUUAAUAUAUAAGAUAUUGGAUAAUGUAGAACAUAAUGCUAAUGCUAAUGCUCUACCAAUCAACGCCCAACUCACAAAAUUCUAAACCCAUUAAUAAUUGAUGGUUUUUCAAAAGGUUUCUUACAUCAAAUAUCAAUAAAAAAAACAAGUGAGAAUUUAUUUUGUAAGUUAAGAAACGUUUCUGGUACAAAAAAAAACUUUUAGCAAAAAGUGAGAUAUUCUCUACCACAUGUUCACAUUUAAUACCAGUUCAUUUUCAGUGAUUAAAAUUAAUUUCAUAAUAAAAGACCCAUGAGUGAGGGUACUCUAAAGAGUUAAUCCCCUAUAUAUUAAUCCCCUCAAUGAUAAUAAAAUUAUAUAAAUAAAUAAUUUUAUUUUAAUAGGUAUUUAUGUUAAUAUAUAUAUACUUUAUAUCGUUUAAAUAUAAUUAUAUAUCAUAUACAAUAGAUAAGAUUGAUUGUUUUGAUUAAUUUAUUCUAAAAUGAUUGCGAAUAAACAAGAGCGGUCAUUUGAUUUCUAUGUGCAAGCCAAUUUAUUACAUAAUAGUAACUGAUUUCUUAGUUAUUUAAUAUAUAAUUAUUAUUUUAUUAUUUCAUAAUAUGCAUAAAAAUAUAAAAUAAGUAUUUAUUCUGCACAAGGCGCAGAUCUUAACCUAAAUAUGUAUCUAUUUAAUAAUUUUGAAUCUUAAACAUUUUCUAAAUCUCAAGCCAAAAUAAAAGAAAGAAAUGAGAAUAAACUCAAAAAUCAAUAUUUAUACCGAGCAAUAACAAAAAUGACACAAAAAAAAAGAAAAAUAUCGAAGAUAAAUAGAAUUGACACGUGAACGUAAAAUUCCCAUAACCAUAAUUAAUUUUUAAAUUGCUAAAUCAUGAUAUAAAACGAGCUGGCACACUUUCAUUGUAACCAAAUAGUAGGCAUGAGAUUCUUCGGCCUAAACUUUAGGUUUCUAUGCGAUAAAUACUUUUUUGACCUAAAUUAUUUUUAAAAAUGAGACCAGUUCAUUAAUAAACCAAUUAUGUAAUUAACAAAUUUUUUUUAAAAAAAUUGUUUAAGAGCCAAAUAUAAUAAAUCGAUCAAUAAUAUAAAUUUGUUCCAUACGAUAUUUCUUAAAUAGUUUUCUUAUAAAUUUACGCUGCGCAAGGCGCAUGUCUUAUCCUAGUACAUCAUAAAACAACAAUCAAAUGCUUAAUCAACAAAAAAAAUUUCUCUUUUUUUUUAAAAAAAGAGAGAAGGCAAUGUGAACUUGAAAAUAUCUUUGUUUUCAACCUAAAACAGCGAGAUGAAUAAACAAUUCACAGAAAGUUAAAAAAAAAGACACAUAACGCGUCUCUUUGCUACCCUAGCAACAUGGUACUCUUAGAGAGAAGUACAUGACUAAACCGGCUCUGAUGUGGGUGUUUAAUUCUUCCAUCGAAAUUGGUGAGGCGGUUUCUCUGACGGGUCAGCAGUGGUUCUGACUGUUUGACCUUUUCUUCUUUGUCCAUUAGUGUCUUGGUCAAAGGCUACAUAAGCGUUGGCUUGUGUUUUAUCUUGGGGUUGUGCUUCAGAUUCUAAUGAACUUAUGGAGGUUGCUGGUUAUGAGGCAAUGAGGGAGUGGCUUCUUAGAGUUUUCGGUUUCGGUCUCCGGACCGUGCUCUGUGUUUUUCUUGUCUGAAUUUGAAGGUGUCUUGCCUCUUAUCGAGUUUUAUCCUCUGUGAGCUCCCCUUGUUUGUCCCUUAGUUCUAUUGCUAGGAUUGUUCUUAGUAAAGCUUCGGUGCUGUGAUGUUUUGCUAUUUCUUGGUGGUUAACAGGCGGGUUUCUCCGAAUUUUAUAGUAAGGAACUGUGGAGCUUUAGCUCAAUUGCGUUGGGUUCUUGAGUAGUAGAUUGUUAAACGAGUUUUUCUUCAUCGGUUACUCCGAUGGAAAUCCGUUUUCUCGUAGUUUCCUUAUCAAGAAGCUUAUUCUUGAGUGGCGGGUGCUCGUGAUGUUGGAUUGUGUUCUAGAGCCUUGCUCUCAUCUAAAAUAAAUGUGUCUUUUAACGCUUUUAUUCUCAUUCGGGCAUCCGGUAUCGACUUGCUUCACUUCUCUGAAAUUUCUGUAUUUGUCCCAGAUGUUGUUAGUGUAUUGUUUCCUUCCUUGUUCUUAACUUUAUGUGUUUUAUAUUGUUUUCUUUCUAGUUUCUAAGAGGUGAUGUUAACUUUGCUGGCUUAUGACUCUAGAAGAAAUGUGUUCUUUGAUGGUUUAGAUGUGCAAGAAAUGCUUUCAACUUGUUUAAUAUUAUCUUUCCCUUCAAAUGACCAAAAAAAAGAAUAAACUAUUCCCAAGUUUGGCAGAAGAAUCAAUAAAGUAAAAAGUUUUGAGAUUCCAA